rnacentral:tRNA from 1 species
GGCUGGAUAGCUCAGUUGGUAGAGCACCAGAGUGGCAAUCUGGAGGUCGCAGGUUCAAACCCCGCUCCAGUCC